rnacentral:misc_RNA from 1 species
GAUGAAGAACGUAGCGAAAUGCGAUACUUGGUGUGAAUUGCAGAAUCCCGUGAACCAUCGAGUCUUUGAACGCAAGUUGCGCCCGAAGCCAUUAGGCCGAGGGCACGUCUGCCUGGGCGUCACACAACGUUGCCCCCCCAAACCUCGUCUUCCAAGAGGACGGGGGGCGGAUGCUGGCCUCCCGUGUGCCACGGCUCGCGGUUGGCCUAAAUGCGAGUACUCGGCGACGAGCGCCGCGGCAAUCGGUGGUUGUCUAACCCUCGGUGCCAUGCUGCGCGCGCGAUUCGCUCACUGUUACUCGACGACCCCAAUGCGUCGUAGCCACGACCCUCACAACGCGACCCCAGGUCAGGCGGGGCUACCCGCUGAGUUUAAGCAUAUCAAUAAGCGGAGGA